rnacentral:rRNA from 1 species
GACGAACGCUGGCGGCGUGCCUAAUACAUGCAAGUAGAACGCUGAAGGAGGAGCUUGCUUCUCUGGAUGAGUUGCGAACGGGUGAGUAACGCGUAGGUAACCUGCCUGGUAGCGGGGGAUAACUAUUGGAAACGAUAGCUAAUACCGCAUAAGAGUAGAUGUUGCAUGACAUUUGCUUAAAAGGUGCAAUUGCAUCACUACCAGAUGGACCUGCGUUGUAUUAGCUAGUUGGUGGGGUAACGGCUCACCAAGGCGACGAUACAUAGCCGACCUGAGAGGGUGAUCGGCCACACUGGGACUGAGACACGGCCCAGACUCCUACGAGAGGCAGCAGUAGGGAAUCUUCGGCAAUGGACGGAAGUCUGACCGAGCAACGCCGCGUGAGUGAAGAAGGUUUUCGGAUCGUAAAGCUCUGUUGUAAGAGAAGAACGGGUGUGAGAGUGGAAAGUUCACACUGUGACGGUAUCUUACCAGAAAGGGACGGCUAACUACGU